UCGCUUCAGCAGCACAUAUACUAAAUUGGAACAAUUCAGAGAAGAUAAACACAGUCCCUGCACAAGGAUGACACGCAAAUUUGUGAAGUGUUCCAUGUAUUU